ACUCAGCUGCCCACGCGUCCAACAUUGAUGGACAUUCCGCUUCGACUUCAUCAUCUCGAAUUUUCCUUCAAAUUCCAUUUUUCUCUGUCACAAAUCUCUGCUUUUGUCGCUCUCCGAUUCACCUUUUUGUCGCUCUCUUUCGCUUUCAAAUCUCAGCUUCUCUACGCGAUUCAACUGCUCUCUUCACCACAACACUGACAAGAAAUUGUUUAAAUCAGAGAGCUCCCCUAUUGCCGUCGCAACAGGUCGAGUACGACGCAUAUUUCUACAAGGUCUUCAAGGUGUACAGGCAACUAUGGAAAUUUCAGCAAGAAAAUCGCCAGAAACUCCACCCAUGUUCUCUCACUCAUCUCUUUACUCUGUUUUUCUCACUUUUGAGGUACCUACAACUACUUCUGAAGUCAAAGCUGAUGAUUUAUUUAUUUAUUUCAAUUUUUCCUCAAAUUUUCAGUUUUUCUUUCACGGAUUUUGAUUUUUUGAAAUGGGUUUUUAUUGAUUCUCUUGAUUGUAGUAGGUUAUGAAGGGUAUUCUUAGCUCUUGGAGUUUUUCUUUCAAAAUAGGGCCCAAAUUCUUUAAUUCAAGAACUUGGUUCGGUUAAGAAUAUAAAUUUAGCUAUCAAAGAGGAAAGAUAUAAAGAUGCAGGUAUUUUAUCAGGACUUUAUCACUGCUUUCCUAACAUAUAUAAUUACUAAGUCGUGCUACAUUUUCUCUUCUAUUUUUUUCAUCAAUUUGCUAUGCCAGAGCCCUCCUACUAUGUUUCUCCACCAUUGCCCCAAUUUUGUCGAAAACAACAGCAGCAACCUACGGCUCUCUUAGCUCAGGAGUGAGGCGACCGAUGGUCAAUGAGCUCCCAUCGUUUCCUGGUUGCCUUCGUUGUGGUUGGAAAAGCUAUAGACUGCAAUUAAGGUCGUGAUUCUGGAUGCUGACAUGAUUAUAUGUGGCCCGAUUGUUCCUUGGAAACUUAGUGCUGAGAAAGCAAGCCUAUUGCAGCGUAUAUGGGUAUAUUACUUUUACUAUUUUUUUCUUUCAUCAGACAAGCAUUGUUUUGCUAUAUUUUGAUUUUCCAAUUUGUAUAGGAUUUUCUUCUGAGAGAUUUAAAUUGAUUUUGGUUCUUUGAAAGCACCUGCCAGAUGGUUUCUAAAGAAGCACCUGCCAAAAGCUUCAAGAAGCAUUUCUAUGUUUUUUCAAGGAAGUAUGUGGACUUUAAUAGAAACUUCAAACAUGUUUCAAAUAAAAACAUUUCUAGCAAAAGGGGUUUCAAGAGCAGAAGUGCUUUGUAUAGAAAGGGUUUCAAAUGACUAAUGUGCCCUUUGUUUCAUUACAAUUGAAGAUUUGGUUUUUGGAUUUCAGGUCAAGCUCUCUAAGUACAUUGGGGAUAAGCAUGUGAUUCUCUUUUUUUACGCAUUGGACUUCACAUUCGUUUGUCAUAGAUCACCUCUCUCAACGACCGCCACACUGAGUUUGCGGAGCUCAACACAAAAAUCUUGGGUGUUUCAGUUGAAAGUGUGGCUUGUUGCCUUGCUCCUCAAUAUAUUCUAUAACACAAAAAUGUGUUGGAAUUUUGCGUCAAUAGUUUUUGUUUUGAAAUCCCAAAUUGAAUGAAGUAUGUGUUACAUAUUGAUGUAGUAGUUGCAAAGAAAUGGUAUGUUGAUGUAGAUAAUUAGGAGUUCAAUCUAUUUGUACUUUAACACAAAUAGAGAUAAUUGUAUAGGGUUUUCUCAUGUUUAAAUUUUUUUGUUUAUACAUUUGAUUCAAGUGUUAUUUCAUACUUUGAUCACUUUUCAUUUA